rnacentral:rRNA from 1 species
UACGUAGGGGGCAAGCGUUGCUCGGAAUCACUGGGCGUAAAGCGCACGUAGGCGGCUUUUUAAGUCAGGGGUGAAAUCCUGGAGCUCAACUCCAGAACUGCCUUUGAUACUGGGAAGCUUGAGUCCGGGAGAGGUGAGUGGAACUCCGAGUGUAGAGGUGAAAUUCGUAGAUAUUCGGAAGAACACCAGUGGCGAAGGCGGCUCACUGGCCCGGUACUGACGCUGAGGCGCGAAAGCGUGGGGAGCAAACAGG